rnacentral:rRNA from 1 species
CAGCAGCCACGGGAAAACGGAGGAUCCAAGCGUUAUCCGGAAUCAUUGGGUUUAAAGGGUCCGUAGGCGGUCUUGUAAGUCAGUGGUGAAAGCCCAUCGCUCAACGGUGGAACGGCCAUUGAUACUGCAGGACUUGAAUUAUUGGGAAGUAACUAGAAUAUGUAGUGUAGCGGUGAAAUGCUUAGAGAUUACAUGGAAUACCAAUUGCGAAGGCAGGUUACUACCAAUUGAUUGACGCUGAUGGACGAAAGCGUGGGUAGCGAACAGGAUUAGAUACCCCCGUAGUCCCUGUCUCUUAUAA